rnacentral:rRNA from 1 species
UACGGGGGGGGGUAAGCGUUGUUCGGAAUUACUGGGCGUAAAGGGCUCGUAGGCGGCCAACUAAGUCGGACGUGAAAUCCCUCAGCUUAACUGGGGAACUGCGUCCGAUACUGGAUGGCUUGGAUUUGGGAGAGGGAUGCGGAAUUCCAGGUGUAGCGGUGAAAUGCGUAGAUAUCUGGAGGAACACCGGUGGCGAAGGCGGCAUCCUGGACCAACACUGACACUGAGGAGCGAAAGCCAGGGGAGCAAAACGGG